GUGAGGAAUAUUGGUCAAUGGGCGAGAGCCUGAACCAGCCAAGUCGCGUGAAGGAUGAAGGUUUUAUGAAUUGUAAACUUCUUUUGCAGGGGAAUAAAGUACGGUACGUGUACCGUUUUGUAUGUACUCUGCGAAUAAGGAUCGGCUAACUCCGUGCCAGCAGCCGCGGUAAUACGGAGGAUCCAAGCGUUAUCCGGAUUUAUUGGGUUUAAAGGGUGCGCAGGCGGGUUGAUAAGUCAGCGGUGAAAGUUUGCAGCUUAACUGUAAAAUUGCCGUUGAAACUGUCGAUCUUGAGUGCAAAUGAGGUAAGCGGAAUGUGUUGUGUAGCGGUGAAAUGCUUAGAUAUAACACAGAACACCGAUUGCGAAGGCAGCUUACUGGGAUGCAACUGACGCUCAUGCACGAAAGCGUGGGGAUCAAACAGGAUUAGAAACCCGUGUAGUCC
rnacentral:rRNA from 1 species